CUAGACACCAACUUGCUCUAAAUGGCUCUCUCAUUCCCCACCUGUCUCAGAAGGUGGCUCUUCGACUUCACAACUGUAACCCAUUUCAUUCUCAUCAUUUUUGCGUGCAAUGAUCCUCCCCAGGUUUUAUGGGCUCUUCUUUUUUCUUUCUUUUAUGGUAUAAUUUCUUUUCUUUUUUCGGUGCAGUUUUUAGUCCUUAAAUAAACAUGAUAAUUUGACCAAAAGUUUACUUCUUUUUUAAAAUUUUGGUUUGUUGAUUUUUGCUAAUUUGUAUUGAUGGGUUCUGAAUGUUUUGUUUGAUUAGCUCUUCAGUGAUAGUUAUGUUAUCUGGGUUUGAUUUUUGUUGGAUUAAAACAAGAAAGAUGGGACUUUUUUUGUUAAGUUCUGACUGGUUUUGGAGGUUAAGGGAGAGUAGUUCGAGGAUCAUUCACGCAAAAAUGAUGUGAAUAAUGGGUUAUUAUGUGAAAAAAUGAUCUCGUUAUUGAAGGAUAACCAGAGCUUAAGAGGGUCCUUGUUACAAAAGGUUCUUAUUAAGUUCAUUUUUUCAUUUUCUCCCAUUCCAAAGAUCCCGCAUGGCUACGUUUCACAGCUUUGCUGCACUACUUGAGGUUUCUCUCAGCCAGCUAGUUAUCUUCCAUACUGAAUUAGGUGUGCAUAAUCUCUCAGACAUGCCAGUGGUCAAAAUAUCUCAUGUCGUACUACACUGGUAAACUCUAUUCUUCAAUGCUUGCGUUCAAUUUUAGGAUUCAGUUGUUAAUUUUCCUUACUGUUUUCGCUGUGAUAGGGCCAUUGUCAGUUGCAGUUUCAAGAACUAGUUGGUAGCUUUGGAUUGAAACAUUUUCUAUUUACCACACAAUUAAUUUACUUUUGACACAUCAGAGGUUCCAUGAAGAAUUGUGCGCCCGCGUGCAUGCCAGUGUUGUGUUUCUAGGAAAUUUUAUGCAACUCUCAUUAAAUUUUAUGUAUAGACGAUGGAUCAUUUAAUUUAAAGAAGAGACUAAAUAUUUGCGAAAAUAGUCUCAAUUGGAUGUCUGAUCCUUCCAAAGAGAGGGAAUUUCAUUUAUGCCAAAUACUUGAUUUUGAUCAGUCAAUCAAUCAAUGCCUUACCACAUUUGUUUUGUCAUUUUUUCAUGGCUUUUCUUAUUUGUCUGGCUUUGGAGAUGCAAAGGACAAUAGCAAAUUAAACUGAUCAGAUGCAGAAGUAUAGAGAUGACAAGAUUUUGAAAGACGACUACUGGUGAAGAAUAACAAAGAAGUCCAGAGUUUUUGGAGAGAUCUGAUAAGUAGGUUUAUAUGUUAGUUUUUGCAUGCAGGCCAGGCUCCAAGCUUCUCUCCUUGAGUGGGUUUAUGUGUUUGAUCUAUGUCCGAAGGG